AACCAGUGGAUCACAUUUUUUAAAAUGUGUUUUCUUUUAUAGACUGAGGAGGACAAGAAGAACAUUAACAGGCUGCAGGAUCUGGUUGACAAGCUGCAGCUCAAGGUGAAGGCCUACAAGAGGCAGGCUGAGGAAGCGGAGGAGCAGGCCAAUGUCCAUCUGUCCAAGUACAGGAAGAUCCAGCAUGAGCUUGAGGAGGCCGAGGAACGUGCCGAUAUUGCCGAGUCCCAGGUCAACAAGCUGAGAGCUAAGAGCCGCGACUCUGGCAAGG